rnacentral:rRNA from 1 species
CGGCGGACGGGUGAGUAAUGCCUAGGGAAUCUGCCUGGUAGUGGGGGACAACGUUUCGAAAGGAACGCUAAUACCGCAUACGUCCUACGGGAGAAAGCAGGGACCUUCGGGCCUUGCGCUAUCAGAUGAGCCUAGGUCGGAUUAGCUAGUUGGUGAGGUAAUGGCUCACCAAGGCGACGAUCCGUAACUGGUCUGAGAGGAUGAUCAGUCAAACUGGAACUGAGACACGGUCCAGACUCCUACGGGAGGCAGCAGAU